AAGGAGCUUGCUCCCGGAUGUUAGCGGCGGACGGGUGAGUAACACGUGGGUAACCUGCCUGUAAGACUGGGAUAACUCCGGGAAACCGGAGCUAAUACCGGAUAGUUCCUUGAACCGCAUGGUUCAAGGAUGAAAGACGGUUUCGGCUGUCACUUACAGAUGGACCCGCGGCGCAUUAGCUAGUUGGUGGGGUAAUGGCUCACCAAGGCGACGAUGCAUACCCGACCUGAGAGGGUGAUCGGCCACACUGGGACUGACACACGGCCCACACUCCUACGGGAGGCAGCAGUAGGGAAUCUUCCGCAAUGGACGAAAGUCUGACGGAGCAACCCCCCGUGAGUGAUGAAGGUUUUCGGAUCGAAAAGCUCUGUUGUUAGGGAAGAACAAGUGCGAGAGUAACUGCUCGCACCUUGACGGUACCUAACCAAAAAGCCACGGCUAACUACGUGCCAGCAGCCGCGGUAAUACGUAGGUGGCAAGCGUUGUCCGGAAUUAUUGGGCGU
rnacentral:rRNA from 1 species